UACGGAGGGGGCUAGCGUUGUUCGGAAUUACUGGGCGUAAAGAGCGUGUAGGCGGCUAGGUAGGUCCGUUGUGAAAACUCGAGGCUCAACCUCGAGACGUCGAUGGAAACCAUCUAGCUAGAGUCCGGAAGAGGAGAGUGGAAUUCCUGGUGUAGCGGCGAAAUGCGCAGAUAUCAGGAAGAACACCCGUGGCGAAGGCGGCUCUCUGGUACGUGACUGACGCUGAGACGCGAAAGCGUGGGGAGCGAACAGG
rnacentral:rRNA from 1 species